AGCACAGACACGGGCAGUGAGGAGGGAGGCCUGACCUCCAGCCCCGAGGGCGGGGAUGGGCGGGGAUGGGCAGAACGGCGACAGCGAGAGGCGGCCCCACCCCUCCCCCUGCAGAAUAAGCUGGGUGGUUCCUGAUUAGCUCUCCCAGUGGCUGGCUGCUCUUAUCCAAACACCUUGAAAACCCCUGUGUUUCAGAUCUUUUGAAGAAAAGGGAGCAGUAACAAAUCCUAAAGCAUCAACACCUGGCCUGCCCCGACCCCUCAACAAGCUGGAGGAGGCUUCCGCCGCCUCCUGAGCGAGAUCGCAGAGCUAACUGCAAGCAGCUGCCCAACAGAAACCCCCCACCUUCAGUCAGGCCCAGGGACACAGUGCGGCAGGCUCACCUGAUGCACCUCUGUCAAAAACCAAAGCCCAGCGCACAGCUGAGGAGACACUUGGGAGGAACCUGCAACAGUGUCUCCAAUAAUUUAAGUCUUGGAGCAUCAAGGAAAACGUAAACUUUCCAGGAGGUAGGAAUCACAUUUCCUGACAUAUCAGUGCAGAGAAUAAAAGGUUUAUUGAAGGCUGGGUGGUUGAGAAACUGCAGUGACACAUUAGCCUUCCAAAGUACUAACCAGACUCCUAAUUCUUCUAAGAAAUAAAUCCCCAAGAGGUACUCAUACACGUGGUGUCAGAGCUUGUAGAAGCAGCGCCUACCCAGAGCUGAACUUCUGAAGAAAAGAGAGAAUAAACAAGUCACCAAUAGACUUGUUUUAGCUGUCAAUCAUGGGAAGAUUUCAGGACAGACACCACUGCUCCAGAGAUGGGCUUGCCUCCUAAGACUCAUCAAAGAAGAAACAGGAAUUCAGAAAUCCUUAAAAAUCUACGAGUUAAGAACCGUUUGAGAGGAAAACAAAGGCCUGAGGAGGACAGGGGAGGGCCACAGAACAAGUUUAACAGAUUCCUUACCCGUGCGCUCUGGCCGGCUAUCAGCUG